rnacentral:misc_RNA from 1 species
GGAAGUAAAUGUCGUAACAAGGUCUCCGUUGGUGAACCAGCGGAGGGAUCAUUACAGGACUCGCAAGACUCCUACAACCCUGUGAACUUAACUAUAAGCACGUUGCUUCGGCGGGUGUCUCGGAGGGGGUUCUCCCUCCCCGAGACGCUAAACCCGCCGGCAGCCUACUAUACUCUGUCUCUUUGCGUUGGCAUCUCGAGUACAAUCAAACAAGUUAAAACUUUCAACAACGGAUCUCUUGGUUCUC